GAUGAAGAACGUAGCGAAAUGCGAUAAGUAAUGUGAAUUGCAGAAUCCAGUGAAUCAUCGAAUCUUUGAACGCACAUUGCGCCCGCCAGCAUUCUGGCGGGCAUGCCUGUUCGAGCGUCAUUUCAACCCUCGACCUCCCUUUGGGGAAGUCGGCGUUGGGGACCGGCAGCACACCGCCGGCCCUGAAAUGGAGUGGCGGCCCGUCCGCGGCGACCUCUGCGUAGUAAACCAACUCGCACCGGAACCCCGACGUGGCCACGCCGUAAAACACCCAACUUCUGAACGUUAACCUCGAAUCAGGUAGGACUACCCGCUGAACUUAAGCAUAUCAAUAAGCGGAGGA
rnacentral:misc_RNA from 1 species